rnacentral:rRNA from 1 species
CUACGGGAUGCUCCAGUCGAGAAUCUUUGGCAAUGGACGAAAGUCUGACCAAGCGACGCCGCGUGCGGGAUGAAGGCCUUCGGGUUGUAAACCGCUGUCAGUUGGGAGGAAAUCACAUGGGGUCCUCUCCAUGUGUUGACCUAUCUUCAGAGGAAGGACGGGCUAAGUUCGUGCCAGCAGCCGCGGUAAGACGAACCGUCCAAACGUUAUUCGGAAUCACUGGGCUUAAAGGGUGCGUAGGCGGCCCUGUAAGUUGGGUGUGAAAUCCCUCGGCUCAACCGAGGAAUUGCGCCCAAUACUGCAGGGCUAGAGGGAGACAGAGGUGAGCGGAACUUGUGGUGGAGCGGUGAAAUGCGUUGAUAUCACAAGGAACACCUGUGGCGAAAGCGGCUCACUGGGUCUCUUCUGACGCUGAGGCACGAAAGCUGGGGGAGCGAACGGGAUUAGAUACCCCCGUAGUC